GCACGUAGUUAGCCGGGGCUUCUUCUGGCGGUACCGUCACCCUCUGGGCUAUUAACCCGAGUGGCUUCGUCCCACCUGAAAGAGGUUUACAACCCUAAGGCCUUCUUCCCCCACGCGGCGUCGCUGCGUCAGGCUUUCGCCCAUUGCGCAAGAUUCCCCACUGCUGCCUCCCGUAGGAGUCUGGGCCGUGUCUCAGUCCCAGUGUGGCUGAUCGUCCUCUCAGACCAGCUAUGGAUCGUCGCCUUGGUGGGCCAUUACCCCGCCAACAAGCUAAUCCACCGCGGGCUCAUCCUCGAUCGGAGGCCGAAGCUACCUUUUCUUUCACGCCCGAAAGCUUGAAAGGCUAUCCGGUAUUAAUCCGAGUUUCCCCGGGCUAUCCCAGAAUCGAGGGCAGAUUACCCACGUGUUACUCACCCGUUCGCCGCUGUCCCCAGGACCGAAGUCCUGGUUCUCGCUCGACUUGCAUGUGUUAAGCGCGCCGCCAGCGUUCAGUC
rnacentral:rRNA from 1 species